rnacentral:tRNA from 2 species
UUAAUUGAAGCCAAAAUAGAGGCUUUUCAUUGUUAAUGAAAUAAUUGAUUUUAUAAAUCCAAUUAAA